rnacentral:lncRNA from 1 species
GCUGAGGCUUCCCCAGUGUACACGGAGUGCCCCGGCUCAGUGUCAGCUGCAGCCCUUCAUCCCCAUGGGAAAUGAACGUCCGGAGAAAAGCAGGAAAAUGUGCUCAUUACCAAGGAAAUGGGAGGGGCCCCGAGUCAGAAGCUGAGAGCACUCGGGGAGGCAGGAUGGUGGCAGUGAGUGGGUGAGCCCCAAGUGCAUCUCCAGGCCGGUGAGAGUCCCCCCCAGAUGCUGCUUCCUCCGCUCUGGCUGACGGAGGUCAGAGGGGUCAGAUGCUGGCCUUGGACAGCUUCUCUGCAGGGCUGAUGAAAACACAGCUUCCGGGAUGCCACAGAGGCCACUGGACUCUGCCAGGGCCCGGCGAGGAGAACGUGCCUUGUAAAUGACUCCAAAAUGCCAGGGAGGGACCACGGGCCCAGGAAAUGCUGUCCAUGGGACCCAGGGAUGGGCUGAGUCCUUCUUUCCCUGUGUAAUAAGUGGGGAUCAGGCGGAGGGCACAGGACCCCAGGAGGGCUGAGUGCCUGCCCUGGAGGCUGGCGGAGGUGAGUCAGCACAGCCUGCCAGGAGCUGCUGGAUGGGUGUCCGCGUGCCCCCAGGGCUGGUGGCCAGAUGCUGGAGUGUGGGAGCUGCUGGGACUGUGGCUCUGCUGCCUGGCAGCUACUCACAGAUUCUGUACGUGGUAGAGUUGUCUGUUUUCACCAGCAGUGUCUUAAAUACUGUGCAGUUCCCAGUGGGAUCCCUGGAAGGAAAAAUCGGAGAAAGUCAUUGCUGCCCCCAGACCCAUUUCUGACUCUUCUUAGCUGGGUUCUUCCAAGCAGGGGUCCCAACCCCCACGGCACCAGUCCAUGGCCUGUUAGGAGCCAGGCCACGAAGCAGGAGGUGAGCGGCAGGUGAGCCAGCGAAGCUUCAUCUGUUUACAGCCAGUCCCCAUUGCCUGCAUGGCCGCCGGAGCCUCCUGUCGGAUCAGCGGGGCCAUUAGAUUCUCAUAGGAGCGCACACCCUACUGUGAACUGCACGGGCAGGGAUCCAGGUUGCAUGCCCCUUAUAGGAAUCGAAUGCCCGAUGACCUGUCAUUGUCUCCCAUCACCCCCAGAUGGGACCGUCCACUUGCAGGAAAACAAGCUCAUGGCUCCCACUGAUUCUACAUGACAGUGCACUGCAUCAUAUUUCAUGACACAUUACAAUGUAAUAAUAAUAGAAAUAAAGUGCACAGCAAAUGAAACAUGCUUGAAUUAUCCUG